CGCGUGUGUGAAGAAGGCCUUCGGGUUGUAAAGCACUUUCAGUAGGGAGGAAGNGUUAAGUGUUAAUAGUACUUAACUUUGACGUUACCUACAGAAGAAGCACCGGCUAACUCUGUGCCAGCAGCCGCGGUAAUACAGAGGGUGCAAGCGUUAAUCGGAAUUACUGGGCGUAAAGCGCACGUAGGCGGUUUUUUAAGUCAGAUGUGAAAGCCCCGGGCUCAACCUGGGAAUUGCAUUUGAAACUGGAAAACUAGAGUGUGUGAGAGGGGGGUAGAAUUCCAAGUGUAGCGGUGAAAUGCGUAGAGAUUUGGAGGAAUACCAGUGGCGAAGGCGGCCCCCUGGCACAACACUGACGCUCAGGUGCGAAAGCGUGGGGAGCAAACAGGAUUAGAUACCCUGGUAGUCCACGCCGUAAACGAUGUCUACUAGCUGUUCGUGACCUUGUGUCGUGAGUAGCGCAGCUAACGCAUUAAGUAGACCGCCUGGGGAGUACGGUCGCAAGAUUAAAACUCAAAUGAAUUGACGGGGGCCCGCACAAGCGGUGGAGCAUGUGGUUUAAUUCGACGCAACGCGAAGAACCUUACCUACUCUUGACAUCCAGAGAAGACUGCAGAGAUGCGGUUGUGCCUUCGGGAACUCUGAGACAGGUGCUGCAUGGCUGUCGUCAGCUCGUGUUGUGAAAUGUUGGGUUAAGUCCCGCAACGAGCGCAACCCUUAUCCUUAGUUGCCAGCGAUUCGGUCGGGAACUCUAGGGAGACUGCCGGUGAUAAACCGGAGGAAGGUGGGGACGACGUCAAGUCAUCAUGGCCCUUACGAGUAGGGCUACACACGUG
rnacentral:rRNA from 1 species